CGGACACGUUUUUGGCGAAGUUAAUUUCGCUUUGCUGGAGCAACAAAACAGACAUUUUCAGGAACUGGUCAAGAAUUUGCAGAUAUUUGCGAACGGGCUACAACAAAGGAGCGAAAUUCGCUUGACGAAAUACAAUACAGACCUUGUGGAUGCCACGCAGUUCUGCACUACGGUGGAUAUCAUUUUAAGUACAAGAUUGCUUUAUGACAGCGAAAUUAUUUUUGGCGCUAAGUAAAUCGUUGGAAGGCGCAGCAGCCAAGGGGUUAUCUCAAAUAUGCAAUCCAGGAGUAACCUGGUAGCAGUUCCCAAAACUUUUUGAGCAUCGAUACGAGAUGCCAGCCGACGCUAUUUUUCGUCUUCUUAACAGCCGUCCAAGCCGUGGCUAAUUUGGAUCGGCCUUUGUUACACAUUUUACACACAGAGAAUGUAAACAACCGACGUGAUCUGGAAGCGGGCCGCAAGUCUUUGCUGCGCUGAAAGACAGUCCUGCUGCACCAAACUGGUAACCAGAGGAGCCUAAGCAGAGUAUGCUGGUUUAUGCUGAGAUAUUUCCGAUUACCUUUGAUUCGAGAGCUGAGUGUUUCUAAUAAAUAAGUUGGUAAGAGAAUUUAAUAUUUCACCCGUUUAAAAGGCAUAAUAAUCGAGCAUGGUAAAUCUUUGGUAGUUUUGUUUUCAGACGAAAGUAUGGAAAAUAAUAUUGUUAUUGGAUGGUUACUAAUCAUUUCAGAAACA